CAGUAGCCGCGGGAAAACAGAGGGUGCAAGCGCUAAUCGGAAUUACUGGGCGUAAAGCGCGCGUAGGUGGUUUGUUAAGUUGGAUGUGAAAGCCCCGGGCUCAACCUGGGAACUGCAUCCAAAACUGGCAAGCUAGAGUACGGUAGAGGGUGGUGGAAUUUCCUGUGUAGCGGUGAAAUGCGUAGAUAUAGGAAGGAACACCAGUGGCGAAGGCGACCACCUGGACUGAUACUGACACUGAGGUGCGAAAGCGUGGGGAGCAAACAGGAUUAGAGACCCCCGUAGUCCCUGUCUCUUAUAC
rnacentral:rRNA from 1 species